rnacentral:rRNA from 1 species
GCUCAGGACGAACGCUGGCGGCGCGCUUAACACAUGCAAGUCGAGCGAGAACCUGCCUUUCGGGCCUGGGGAAAGCGGCGAACGGGUGAGUAACACGUGGGUAACCCACCCUUGGUACUGGGAUAGCCCGGGGAAACCCGGAUUAAUACCGGAUGGCCCAACAGCUCUUCGGGGCGGUUGGAAAAGGUAGCUUCGGCCUCCGACCAAGGACGGGCCCGCGGCGGAGUAGCUUGUUGGUGGGGUAACGGCCUACCAAGGCGACGAUCCGUAGCUGGUCUGAGAGGACGAUCAGCCACACUGGGACUGAGACACGGCCCAGACUCCUACGGGAGGCAGCAGUGGGGAAUCUUGCGCAAUGGGCGAAAGCCUGACGCAGCGACGCCGCGUGGGGGAAGAAGGCUUUCGGGUUGUAAACCCCUUUCAGGAAGGACGAAGCCACUCGGGUUAAUAGCCCAGAGGGUGACGGUACUUCCAGAAGAAGCCCCGGCUAACUACGUGCCAGCAGCCGCGGUAAUACGUAGGGGGCAAGCGUUGUCCGGAUUUAUUGGGCGUAAAGAGCGUGUAGGCGGUUUGGUAGGUCCGCUGUGAAAACUCGAGGCUCAACCUCGAGACGCCGGUGGAAACCAUCAGACUAGAGUCCGGAAGAGGAGAGUGGAAUUCCUGGUGUAGCGGUGAAAUUCGCAGAUAUCAGGAAGAACACCCGUGGCUAAGGCGGCUCUCUAGUACGGUACUGACGCUGAGACGCGAAAGCGUGGGGAGCGAACAGGAUUAGAUACCCUGGUAGUCCACGCCGUAAACGAUGGGUGCUAGGUGUAGGGGGUGUCGACUCCCUCUGUGCCGAAGCUAACGCAUUAAGCACCCCGCCUGGGGAGUACGGCCGCAAGGCUUAAACUCAAAG